UAGUGUAUUUAUAUAUUUAUCCUCGUUAAUAUGGCUAAGGUUAUUUUGUUCUUCUUUCUCUUUAAACGCCCCUUUCUUUUUAUUUCUCCUUCCUCAUUUGCCUCUGUGCUCUAUUAAAGCGACCUAUGAGUUCUCCAUUGAAGCGCGUACUAAACUUUCUCUCUUCCAUUAAAUCAGUUUAUAAGUUAAGCAGGCUUCACCCCCGGUGAUGUUGUGGGUAAGCAUGAAUUCGGGCGUUCAUCAAUCAUUAUAGACUAAAACCCGUGCAUUUGCUGAAGAAAUAUAUGCUCGUGCUCUUCAUAAGAAAAUUUGGUUAAUGUCAAACCUACGUGGAACCUUGGUCCUUCUGCGAUAUAUUGGCAGAGUUGCAGAUAAACUGACAUUAUAUGCAAAAGAUUUAUAUCAAACUGGAAAGGUUUUUUUUUUUUCCCUUAUAUUCUCUAUACAAUUUGGUCUUAACAGCUCAGAUGCUUCAACCUAAACUAAGGUUCUGAUGCUGUAUGCUUUUCUGUACAGAUUGAUCAUGAUCAAUUGUUGGAGUAUCUACAAUAAGGAUUUAGGUACUCUAACCGGAAUGUCAUGAAUCAUAUUCAUACGCACCUAAAACAAGAUCGCAUGCAUAACACACAAGAAUCACAUAAUUAUACCUUUGAAGCAUGAUCUCCACGUAGCAAGUUGAUUGACAAUUAGGGAGAGAAUAGAGCCCCAAUCGUUGCUCCUCUACUUAGUUCAAGGGAAUCGAAUAAGUUGUCCACCAAUACUAGAUUGGUUAGAUGAAGGGGAAACACCAUGAUCACCACCUUUGCGGACAACUGGCCACCGCCACAAACCACCACAAACCACCACCACCAUCGAACACACACCGGCGCACGGAGAGGAGUAAGAGCCGUGAGAGAGGGGAGAGUUUGAGAUAGGCAUGGCUUGUGUUUGCUAAUUAGGGUUUGAUAUAUGAUCACUGAAUUGUGUUACUCAAUCCUAGGCACCUAGUCUAUUUAUAAUCAUAUUAUAAUUAGACUAGGAAGUAAAGCCCAUAUCCUCUAAUCUACUCCAUAUGGCCGGCCACCUAGAUGGAGAAGGCCCAUCAUAGGCCUCUUCCUAUUAUGCUCAAUCUAGGCCCUUUGUCUGACCUUAUAGGAUCCGUUCAGUUGGGCUUUAGACUAUUUUACUAGCCCAAAG